AUGCACAACAGGGAGCAGGUGACAGGAAGCAGGUUUGAUGAAUGCUUCCUGACCUUCUGUGGAUUAUAUCACUCUCCUGGAAGAAGCCCAGGGGCAUCUUUGAGCCAAAGAUUGGACUUGACUUUGGCAAGGAGAAAAGACACCCAAACUCAUGUGCUCUACCCACCCCCACGGCCUACCCAGAAGGAAGAUGCUUCCAAGAGUUGCUUGCCUGAUGAGAUCCAUAGCAGACAUGAAGAGGUGUCCCAGCGGCGAGUGCCUUCCUCCAUCCAGUCCAGAGAUAGUACCUGACAGUCGGACACUGAGGAGGGAACCAAAGGAUUUACGGCAAAUGACUAAACCCUCACUCAGUUGCCUUCAGCAUGAAGAAACACCAUAACCAGAUAUGGUUAUGGGGAUCUGCCAUAGGAAGGCUAGAGAAUCUUCCCACGCCUGCUGCACUAGAUCCAAAAAUCAAGGCCUCUUCUCAGAGCCAUGGGCUCUGUAACAGGCCUUGCCUCUCUCCGGUUUACUUGUGUCACUUCCUGCUAGCCUCAGCUUCAGUUAUAAUGGCCUUGCUGUGCUUUAAAUGUGCUGAGCUCAUUCAUACUCUGGUUCCCUCUAUUUUAGCAAC
rnacentral:lncRNA from 1 species